AACGAACGCUGGCGGCGUGCCUAAUACAUGCAAGUCGAGCGGACAGAAGGGAGCUUGCUCCCGGAAGUUAGCGGCGGACGGGUGAGUAACACGUGGGCAACCUACCCUGUAGAUCGGGAUAACAUCGAGAAAUCGGUGCUAAUACCGGAUAAUCAUUUGAAGUGCAUGCUUCGAAUGUAAAAGAUGGCUCCGGCUAUCACUACGGGAUGGGCCCGCGGCGCAUUAGCUAGUUGGUAAGGUAAUGGCUUACCAAGGCAACGAUGCGUAGCCGACCUGAGAGGGUGAUCGGCCACACUGGGACUGAGACACGGCCCAGACUCCUACGGGAGGCAGCAGUAGGGAAUCGUCCGCAAUGGACGAAAGUCUGACGGAGCAACGCCGCGUGAGUGAUGAAGGUUUUCGGAUCGUAAAGCUCUGUUGUUAGGGAAGAACAAGUGCCGUUUGAAUAAGGCGGCACCUUGACGGUACCUACCAGAAAGCCACGGCUAACUACGUGCCAGCCGCCGCCGUAACAC
rnacentral:rRNA from 1 species